UACGUAGGGGGCUAGCGUUGUCCGGAAUCAUUGGGCGUAAAGAGCGUGUAGGCGGCCCGGUAAGUCCGCUGUAAAAGUCAAAGGCUCAACCUUUGAAUGUCAGUGGAUACUGCCGGGCUAGAGUCCGGAAGAGGCGAGUGGAACUCCUGGUGUAGCGGUGGAAUGCGCAGAUAUCAGGAAGAACACCAACGGCGAAGGCAGCUCCCUGGGACGGUACUGACGCUGAGACGCGAAAGCGUGGGGAGCGAACAGG
rnacentral:rRNA from 1 species